AUUGAACGCUGGCGGAAUGCUUUACACAUGCAAGUCGAACGGCAGCACGGGGGCAACCCUGGUGGCGAGUGGCGAACGGGUGAGUAAUACAUCGGAACGUGCCCAGUUGUGGGGGAUAACGUAGCGAAAGCUACGCUAAUACCGCAUACGAACUGAGGUUGAAAGCGGGGGAUCGCAAGACCUCGCGCAAUUGGAGCGGCCGAUGGCAGAUUAGGUAGUUGGUGGGGUAAAGGCUCACCAAGCCGACGAUCUGUAGCUGGUCUGAGAGGACGACCAGCCACACUGGGACUGAGACACGGCCCAGACUCCUACGGGAGGCAGCAGUGGGGAAUUUUGGACAAUGGGCGCAAGCCUGAUCCAGCCAUUCCGCGUGCAGGAUGAAGGCCCUCGGGUUGUAAACUGCUUUUGUACGGAACGAAAAGGCUCUCGCUAAUACCGGGAGCUCAUGACGGUACCGUAAGAAUAAGCACCGGCUAACUACGUGCCAGCCGCCGCCGUAA
rnacentral:rRNA from 1 species